CCUACGGGUGACAGCAGUGAGGAAUAUUGGUCAAUGGCCGAGAGGCUGAACCAGCCAAGUCGCGUGAGGGAAGAAUGUCCUAUGGAUUGUAAACCUCUUUUGUCAGGGAGCAAAGUCACCCACGUGUGGGUGUUGGAGAGUACCUGAAGAAAAAGCAUCGGCUAACUCCGUGCCAGCAGCAGCGGUAAUACGGAGGAUGCGAGCUUUCUCCGGAGUUAUGGGGUUUAAAGGGUGAGUAGGCGGGUUAUCAAGUCAGAGGUAAAAUCGUGGAGAUCAAAUCCAUCCAGAAGUGGAAUCUGAUGAUCUUGAGUGGGAGAGAAGUAUGCGGAAGGCGUGGUGUAGCGGUGAAAUGCAUAGAUAUCACGAAGAACUCCGAUUGCGAAGGCAGCAGACCGGCGCCCGACUGACGCUGAAGCACGAAAGCGUGGGUAUCGAACAGGAUUAGAUACCCGUGUAGUC
rnacentral:rRNA from 1 species